rnacentral:tRNA from 1 species
GGCUCGGUAGUUUAGUCGGUAAAAGCACUUAUCUAGCGCAUAAGGAUCGUGAGUUCAAAUCGCAUCUAAGCCG